rnacentral:rRNA from 1 species
AUGGGCGUCAAAGCCAAUGUGAGAAAGGGCCUCACAUCUCUCUUCAUGUUUGUUUCAUGGGAGAUUUGGAAUGGGCGGAAUGCAAGAGUGUUUAAGGACGUGUCCUCCAUGCCAAAUGUAAUCACGUCUAGAAUCAAAGCCGAGACCAGGCUUUGGAGUUUGGUAGGUGCCAAGCGUUUGAGUUCUCUUAUACUAUGA